rnacentral:sRNA from 1 species
AAUGUGCUAGGAAAAUCUGUUGGCAUGUAUGGAUUAACUGGCAGACCAUGUGUGCAUGUGUGUUUAUUCCUUAUAAAGAUUUAUCUUCAUGUGAUUAGAUGUUGCUUUUUACUGAUUAACAUUGGUGUUGAGCAUUUUUUCUAUAUGGCCUUUCAUCUACUGUGAAAUAAUUUUCAGCCAUUUUCUCAUUAAUUAAUUAAUUAAUUAAUUUUUAAGUCAGGGUCUUGCACUGUCACCCAGGCUGGAGUGCAGUUCUGGGAUCAUGGCUCACCACAGCCUCAGAUUCCUGGGCUCAAACAAUCCUCCUGCCUUAGUCUCCUAUGUAGCUGGAACUACAGGCAUGCACCACCACGUCUUGCUAUUUUUUUUUGUAUUUUUUGUAGAGACAAGGUCUCACCAUGUUGCCCAGGCUGGUCUCGAACUCCUGGGCUUAAGUGAUCCGCCUGUCUUGGCCUCCCAAAGUGCUGGGAUUAUAGGCAUGAG